UUGAUCCUGGUUCAGGACGAACGCUGGCGGCAUGCCUAACACAUGCAAGUCGAACGGAGUAAGAGAGAAGCUUGCUUAGCUCUUACUUAGUGGCGGACGGGUGAGUAACGCGUGAGUAACCUGCCUUUCAGAGGGGGAUAACGUUCUGAAAAGAACGCUAAUACCGCAUGACAUAUCGGAGCUGCAUGGCUCUGGUAUCAAAGGAGCAAUCCGCUGAAAGAUGGACUCGCGUCCGAUUAGCCAGUUGGCGGGGUAAAGGCCCACCAAAGCGACGAUCGGUAGCCGGGUUGAGAGACUGAACGGCCACAUUGGGACUGAGACACGGCCCAGACUCCUACGGGAGGCAGCAGUGGGGGAUAUUGCACAAUGGGCGAAAGCCUGAUGCAGCAAUGCCGCGUGAGGGAAGACGGUCUUCGGAUUGUAAACCUCUGUCCUUGGUGAAGAUAAUGACGGUAGCCAAGGAGGAAGCUCCGGCUAACUACGUGCCAGCAGC
rnacentral:rRNA from 1 species